rnacentral:rRNA from 1 species
CAGCCGCCGCGGGAAUACGGAGGGGGCUAGCGUUGUUCGGAAUUACUGGGCGUAAAGCGCACGUAGGCGGCUUGGUAAGUUAGAGGUGAAAGCCCGGAGCUCAACUCCGGAAUUGCCUUUAAGACUGCCGAGCUAGCAGGUGAGAGAGGUAAGUGGAAUUCCGAGUGUAGAGGUGAAAUUCGUAGAUAUUCGGAAGAACACCAGUGGCGAAGGCGGCUUACUGGCUCAUACUGGACGCUGAGGUGCGAAAGCGUGGGGAGCAAACAGGAUUAGAUACCCGAGUAGUCCCUGUCUCUUAUAC